AGAAGGAUAAGCUAAUUAAGCUACUGGGCUCAUACCCCAUCUAUAGAGGUUUACCCCUCUUUUUUCUA
rnacentral:tRNA from 1 species